CCCAGGUGUUUUCAUUUGUGAUCAGCACUGAACACAGAAGACUCAUCAUGGAGUUUGGCCUAAGCUGGGUUUUCCUUGUUGCUAUUUUAAAAGGUGUCCAGGGUGAGGUGCAGCUGGUGGAGUCUGGGGGCGGCUUGGCAAAGCCUGGGGGGUCCCUGAGACUCUCCUGUGCAGCCUCUGGAUUCACCUUCAGUAGCUACUGGAUGCACUGGGUUCGCCAGGCACCAGGGAAGGGGCUGGAGUGGAUCUCAGCUAUUAAUAGUGCUGGUAGUAGCACAUACUAUGCAGACUCCGUGAAGGGCAGAUUCACCAUCUCCAGAGAGAACGCCAAGAACACACUGUAUCUUCAAAUGGACAGCCUGAGAGCUGAGGACACGGCUCUCUAUUACUGUGCGGGAGACACAGUGAGGGGAGGUCAGUGUGAGCCCAGACACAAACCUCCCUGCAGGAACGCGGGGGGAAAUCAGCGGCAGGGGGCGCUCGGGACCCACUGAUCAGAGUCAACCCAGAGGCCGGUGCACACGGAGGCUGAUUUCCUACGAUCCUUACCGAGGAGAUGAGAAGUUCCCAGCCAUGGUCGCCACGAUCAGAGUCCUGAGGAAGCUCAGGCUUCCUGGUGUUCAGUGUGAGGUGCAGCUGAUUGAGUCCAUAGAGGACCUGAGAAAACCUGGGAAGUUCCUGAGACUCUCCUGUGUAGCCUCCAGAUUCGCCUGCAGUAGCUUCUGA